rnacentral:rRNA from 1 species
GAUGAACGCUGGCGGCGUGCCUAAUACAUGCAAGUCGAGCGAACAGACGCGGAGCUUGCUCCUCUGACGUUAGCGGCGGACGGGUGUGUCACACGUGGAUAACCCACUUAUAAUACUGGGAUAACUUCGAGACACCGGAGCUAAUAGCGGAUAAUAUAUUGCACCGCAUGGUUCAAUAGUGAAAGACGGCUGUGCUGUCACUUAUAGAUGGAUCCCGGCCGCAUUAGCUAGUUGUUAAGGUUACGGCUUUCCACGGCGACUAUGCGUAGCCGACCGGCGGGGGUGGUCGGCGACACGGGAAGUUGACCAGGGUCAAUAGUCCUACGGGAGGGCGCAGUAGGGAAUGGGCCGCAGUGGGCGAGAGUAUGACGGAGUGACGCGGCGUGAGUGAUGAAGGCCUUCGGAGCGUAAAACUGUGUUAUGAGGGAAGAACCACUGUGGAAGGAACUAUGCAGGUCUUGACGGUAACGAGUCAGAAAGCCACGGCUAACUACGUG